CAUGUUUGCUCUAGGAAGAAUCUUGGAAGAGUAUAGUUUGGGAUUUUUUCUCUUCUAAAACUCAAAAGGAAAAGAAAUUAAAAAUGGUCAUGGUUUACUCACCCUCAUGUCUUUCUAUAACUAUGACUUUCUUCUGUGGAAUAUGAUUUAUGUUGUUAUUUUUAUUCUAUACAAUUAAAAUCUGUGGACUCCGAUGUUGCUUGGUUCUGUGUUCCUCGAAAUAUCCUUUUUCCUUCCACAGAAGAGUCAUUUGGGUUUGAAUGACAUGAGGGGGAAUAAAUGAUGACACUGUUUUCAUUUAUGGGUAAACUAUCCCAAUAAGCAAUUUGCUCUGUAUGUAAUUUGAAAAGAGAUUAAAUGGAUUUCAGUUGUGCUUUCAUGUAGGGAGUGAUGAAGAAAAAUCCAAGGGAAAGAGCAACCACAUAAUUGAAACAGAAAUAGAAGAAAUGGAAAGAAUAGGGAAUCAGUGAGUGAGGAAACGAGACAGUGAGCGAGUCGGUGAAUGAGUGCGAGGGAGGGAGGGAGAGAUAGGCAGAAGGAACUUGCUGCCCCUGGUUGGUGUUGUGUAAGACUUGGCUGGCUGUAGCAGAAUAACACUCUUAUUCUCUCAGUGCUUUGAACUCUGGUACCCUACAGCUCCGACCACCCCUCUCUGCAGCAGCAAGAACUCACAUUGAGGCGUGCACAGCUUCUUCAGCUGUCUACAAAAUGUCCAGAAGAUGGCGCCAUAGACCAGUGUGAGUUAUUGGCCCUGCUGGUACUAAAAAGAUGUUACUGUAUCUGAGAUCCACACGUUUUUGCCCCACAUUGUGUUUAAGAAAUGAAUAGGCUUGUGACCUGUAGGGGCAUUAAACUGUUAAAGGAGGCUUAUUUGGACAAUCGACAUGAAUUUCUCUUAUCUAGAGAGAUAAUUGUUGUCUUUCUUUCAGCCUGUGAAGUUGCUGUCUGACCUGCAUUCGGCAGUCGUGUUUUCCUGUUGGUCUUUUGUGACACAGAACAAAUGUACUUUGUUGGAUGAUGUAAUGGCACGCCUCAGUCAUAUGAUACACUCUGUGUAUAUAAUAUAUGUCAUCUCUGUGUAAUUUUCUGUGAACAGAAUUGAAUACAGUUUUUGUGCAACUUUGUACAAUGUUUUUUCUUGAACACAUACAUCACUGAAAGUGAAAAUACAGUUAUAGUUUGUCGGUUGGUUCUGGCAUAUCCAAGUGAUCAAGAAAUCUUUUUCUUGCCAGUUCAUAGAUUAUAUUUUGCAUAAGGAAAAUUACCACAAAAAAAGUACUACUAAUAAUUUAUUUUCAUGCACGUUUGGUGCUUACAUUGCAGAUACACUAAUUAUUAGUGUACAGAGUCAUUACAUUUUAAUUUGACCUAGUUCAUUUUGUGGUCACUUAGAAUUAACCAUCUUUAGAGUUUUUUUGUUUGAUGCUUUAUUUAUUUAUUUUCCACCCAGAAUAGUUUGAGAUUGCUAUAAUGGAGAAAAAUGAUUAUAUUCUAAAUAUUAUGAAAUACAAUUGUAAGUACGCCUAAUGGUUGCAUUAGUUAAGUUGAACUUAUUUUCUCCUGAUAUUAAUUAUUUCUUUUUUACACAGUAUUAGGAAUUAAAGGGCAAAUGAGCUUAAUUUAUGUGAAAAUAAUGUCAUAAGCUAAAACCUACAAUGAUCAUCAUAGGCUUUACUGUCUUCAUGGAAAAUAUAGUCAUAUUUUAUCUCUUUUUAAGGUGAAUUAAGGCCUGGACAUUUUGCCUAUUCAUUAUCACGUCAGAACUCAUUUAGUGCUAUUUAACACAUUCACUUUCACAACAAAAUGUACAUUUUUUUUAUCUGUUUUUUUAAUGUUAUGUGAGCAUCAAUGACAAUGAAAAGAGCAUCAUUUUGAUUAAGUGAUUGAUGACACGUUUAGUGUUCCUUGUCCAGCAGAGGGUGAAGGGUAUAAUUAUUUAAUUAUUUGAUGAUAAUUCAGUCCCACUCUUGUGGAGUCACUCUUUCCUUAUGGAUCUGGCAGUCCAUCAGGAAUAUGGAAAGGAUACAUAAAACUGAUGAAAAUGUUCAAUAUAAAUUUAUGGAGUUGUAAGUUUUUACUGGCCUCUAAUGAAUGACAGGUGACCAUGUCGCCAGCUGCAAAAGACCGUUACUUACCAAACAAGACUUUUCUUUACAGAGUUUUCGUGAUUUGUUUCUGAUGGCUGUUUUGUCUAGUAUCUCAGACUUGUGUGAGUCACAGUUCGACCCCAGCAUCUCUCUUUGUGUCUCUCUCAGUGGGAGGCAGGACCACGUGUAUUGUACCCCUCGCAGGAAAGUCAGUUGUUAUAACUUCAACCAGCGGGCACUUUUAUGGAACUUUGAACCAGUCCGCUGACCACUAUUUUAUUUGCGUUGUAAAAUAUAAUACUUUGUCCCACUUACUUUUUAUUUCAGAAGUAUUGAGUCAACUUUAAGUUAAUUCGAUAUUAUGUAAAUCAAUAUAAUAUGUGUGUGUGUGUGUGUGUGUGUGUGUUUAUACUCAAAUUAAGAAUAAACUAUAGAUUUACAGUAAAAUGUGGUAAAUUCCAUACUGACAAAACAGCAAUGAUAACAACUAUUAUUGACAGAAAUCAUUUUUUUUUUUUUUAAAUGUACUACUGUAAUACAUGAUGGCUUUGUAUUUCAGUGUUUACACUUGAAUAAAAGCCAUCGUUUAGAGAAUCCCUCAUACAAGGGUGUGUGUGGCAGUUUUCUUCCAGCUAUUUACACAGUCAGUGUGUUCCUACAAUAUCAUUUUGCCAUAAUCAACUUUGAAACACAUUUGUGUAUGCAAGGCAAAGAAUUAUUAGUGUAUUUAAUCAGUGUGAUUUAAGCCUCUCGUGGAUUUGAAAUAACGCACCUGGCUGCACUGCAUUUCUCUAAAUAAAGUUUUACAACUGA